rnacentral:snRNA from 1 species
GGGUGUGAGGGCGAUCUGGCUGCAACAUCCAUCAACCCAUUGAUCGCCAGGGUUGAUUUGGCUGAUCUGGCUGGCUAGGCUGGUGUCCCCUUCCUGUCUCACUGCUCCAUGUGUGUCCCUCCAGAAGCUGUGGGCUUGGUUGAAGAAGACCAUCUCCUCAGUCAAGGGUAUACAAGUAGCUGCGCUCCCCUGCUAGAACCUCCAAACAAGCUCUCAAAAUUAACAUUUUUCUAACUUCAAAAAAUUGGGUAGCUAAUCCCAGCCCUCCAAGAAUUGAAAAUUU